UUUUGACAUACUAUACUAUACUAUGAUUGUUUUUUUCAGGGUUUUUUUGACAUGCUAUGCUAAGACAUUUUUCAACAUACUAUACCAUGAUUAUUUUUUUUUAUUUGGACAUAUACUAUGAUUUAUUUAUUUUUUUCAGUUUUUUCAACAUGCUAUACUAUCAGUCCUUCCAGAAAAAUGGAAAUGGAAUGGAAAUGGAGUUUUUUUGUGAUUGUUGCGGGCAAAAAUCCUUGAUUAUGCGGCACGUUUUCUUGAAAAUGCGAUGGAAUAUGCGGGAUAUUUAUGCAAUUUCAUGCGAUGAAAUUGCGGGAACUUGUAAAAAUUGCGAGAACUUGCAAAAAUUGCGGGAACUUGUAAAAAUUGCGGGAACUUGCAAAAACUGCGGUUUGAUGAAAAAGAGGAAAAAAGUGAUUCCCCCAACACCCUGUUCUCACUAGGCUACUACCUUAAUGUAGUCAUUUCUAAUUACUUCCUAUGAUAAGCAAGCAUACUGCAUCAGAGAAAGUGCAGGGAAUAUUUAAGUUCUCAUCCUGUUUUAUUUCAGACCUUAAUAAACACAUGGCUCAAACUUACAAAACAUUGCUGAGUCAAACAAGUUCUGUAGCUAGAAUAUGCUACAACUUAUGUAAAAAUAAAUAAAUAAAAUAUAUAUUAUGUCAUGAAGGCUAUGGAGAGAGAUCCAUUUUUGCGCACCCGCUGGUUAAGCGCUUUUUGAAAGGAGUCAGGCGACAGAGACCUGUCACGCGCUCUUUGGCACCGCAGUGCUACUCUGAGGCCAAAUCCCACAUUCAUGCCUAAAAUCAUAACCAGCUCUUUUAGAUCGAGAGUUAUUUCACUGGAAGGUUUCUUCCCUCCUCCCCACAGAAGGAGAAGAAACAUCACACCGACUCUGCCUAGUGCGCGCUCUGUCUCAUCACGUGACGCGCACAGCAAGCCUCAGAGAGACACAACAGUUGUUUGUACAUUACAGAGAGCAUUCACAAGGAAAACCCCUCUUGCAACGAAAAUGCGAGAUUAUGAAAUCAUGCAAGCCCCGCAUAUUUUGCGCAUUUUACGCGGAAAUCGGCGAUUCAUGCGGCGAAAGUGCGGCGUCUUUGAAAAAUGCGGCCCCCGCAUGAAUAUAAUAACAUAUAUGACUUACAAUACUUUUAUGACACAUUUCAAUUUUUAAGCGCAUACUUCACUUUUGUUUUAAUGGCAUACAUUAUUAGGAAACUUGUUAUGGAAUACUGCACUAUGACAGACUUUCCAUCAUGAGUCUGACAGUCUAGUAUAUAGUCUAGUAUAACAUUGUUAUAGCAUAAUGUUGUAUACAAAUAUAAAUAUAAAAGGCCACGUAUAAACACUCCCCACCCACUUAAUUAAUUAACAUGUAUUGAGAUAUUUUGCAGUAAAAGGGAAGAAAAUCCUGGAGCUUAUGGAUCAGCCUGGUGACUGGUUACCAGAGACCUGAGACUAGAGGCCUUGAAGUCUUCAGCCCUGUUAGUGCCCCCUAGAGGCUGGAGUCUUUAUUACACGCCACAAUAUCCAAACUUGCAGUACGGCCACAAACGUAAAGUUUUCUAUCAGUAGCAGGUCAAUAAAUGAAACUAAUGAAAACUGUCUCAAACCUGCAGUUUUUAGUUGUUACUGAUAUAUUCUCUGAAUGCAUGCUGUAUGUUUCUGUCUUUAUCUCAUCUCUUUUAUUUAUCAGCUGUGUUGUAUUAAAUCUUUUCUUUACACUUUCCUUGUUAUAUCGAACUGUGAUCAGACUAAAUCCGUUUGGUGUUUGUUUGUCUGGAAUGAUUCAUAUGUCUACAUGUAUUCCUCAUCAGACUGCAUGUGUUCUUCGGAGCAGCAGGUCUUAACAUGUAUGAGUCAGUUCAUUUUAAUAUUAAAUAUCAAAGUUAAGAUCAUAUUAAAGCAUAGUGCGCUCGCAGUGGACGAGUGCAGGUUUUCUGAUGGUUACAGAGCUGCUGCUCCAGAGGACUGUUGUUCGUGUUUGUAGUAAAUGUGUGUGUUCUGCUUUCAGCCCAGUGUCAGCUGGAUGCUGAUACUGGUGUCCAGUGUGCGCAGUAUGUCCAACAGUGGUUCUUUGACAAAGACAUCGGUGCAUGCUCUCCCUUCUGGUAUGGCGGUUGCGGCGGUAACGCCAACCGCUUUAAAACGGAAAAUGAAUGUUUCCGGACAUGUGGCACCCGCAAUCCAAACAUCCUGCCCACACCGGAGCUCGCCAGCUUCGCCUCCAAAGACAGCUGUUUCCUGAGCCAGGACCAGGGCAGCUGCCAGAACUACACCAUGAUGUGGUUCUUUGACACCGAGCAGAGGGAGUGUUCUCGCUUCUGGUACGGCGGCUGCGGCGGAAACGAAAACCGCUUCCAGACACAGGAGGAGUGUGAGAACCUCUGUCUGACGAAGAGUCGGUGAGGACGUCGGCUCCAGAUCAGUUGGACAGAAAACACAAAAUCACCGCUGCACACCAAACAUGUGUCAGCGAAACCUUCAGAGAACAUGACAACAUGUAUCUUCAAGGAAAAACACCACAGAAACUUAGUGUGAAUUAUUUUAAAGCCGUUCCUCACAGCUGCGGUGGGUCUGGGACGUUAAACUGCUAACUAGUUUCUGCUAAAACGCCUUCAGGGAAAGUUUCAACUGUUCCAGAGCUCUGCAGCUUUUAGUCAUUUUUCCUUCAACGUGCAUGUUUUAAUCCCUCAAAGCUCUUUUUUUUUUUAAAACCUUCAACAUCUUGCAAUAAAAAACUCUUGAACUGCUGGACACUG